UACAGAGGUCUCAAGCGUUGUUCGGAUUCAUUGGGCGUAAAGGGCGCGCAGGCGGCCCGGAAAGUCGGAUGUGAAAACUCGAGGCUCAACCUCGAGCGUGCACCCGAUACUGCCGGGCUUGAGGCAGGUAGGGGAGAUCGGAAUUCCUGGUGUAGCGGUGAAAUGCGCAGAUAUCAGGAGGAACACCGGUGGCGAAAGCGGCUUACUGGGUCUCUUCUGACGCUGAGGUACGAAAGCAUGGGGAGCGAACAGG
rnacentral:rRNA from 1 species